CUCCCGGGCCUUGUACACACCGCCCGUCACACCACCCGAGUUGUUUGCACCCGAAGUCACUGGCCCAACCCGCAAGGGAGGGAGGUGCCGAAGGUGUGAAGAGUAAGGGGGUG
rnacentral:rRNA from 1 species